rnacentral:rRNA from 1 species
AAGUCGAACGGCAGCACGGGGGCAACCCUGGUGGCGAGUGGCGAACGGGUGAGUAAUGAAUCGGAACGUGCCCGGUAGUGGGGGAUAACCAGUCGAAAGACUGGCUAAUACCGCAUACGACCUACGGGUGAAAGCGGGGGACCGUAAGGCCUCGCGCUAUCGGAGCGGCCGAUUUCCGAUUAGCUAGUUGGUGAGGUAAAGGCUCACCAAGGCGAUGAUCGGUAGCUGGUCUGAGAGGACGGCCAGCCACACUGGGACUGAGACACGGCCCAGACUCCUACGGGAGGCAGCAGUGGGGAAUUUUGGACAAUGGGCGAAAGCCUGAUCCAGCCAUGCCGCGUGCGGGAAGAAGGCCUUCGGGUUGUAAACCGCUUUUGGCAGGAACGAAACGACGCGGGCCAAUACCUCGCGUUAAUGACGGUACCUGCAGAAUAAGCACCGGCUAACUACGUGCCAGCAGCCGCGGUAAUACGUAGGGUGCAAGCGUUAAUCGGAAUUACUGGGCGUAAAGCGUACGCAGGCGGCUUGGUAAGACAGAUGUGAAAUCCCCGGGCUCAACCUGGGAACUGCAUUUGUGACUGCCAAGCUCGAGUCUGUCAGAGGGGGGUGGAAUUCCACGUGUAGCAGUGA